UAGAUUACCUUUCAGGUGCUCUAUUAGUUAAUACAGAUCAGGGAAAACAUACGGUAUUUGUCCUUUUGGGACUGGCUUAUUUCACUAAGUAUAAUGUUUUCCAGUUGCAUCUAUUUUGUUGCAAAUGACAGGAUUUUUUUUUUUUACUGUUGUGUAGUAUUCCAUCUUUAUCCAGUCUUGGUUGACAGCCAUUUGGUUUGAUUCCAUGUUAGCUAUUGAGAACUGAGCUGCAGGGUACAGUGUUCUCCCUCUUGUUUGGCUGUUGGCUCACCUUCUACGUGUUGCUCCCGGUCUCUGAGCCUUAGAUUUCCUGUUUGGAUGUCAAGGACUGGAACAGAUGAUACCUCAGGGCCUGCUAUGGUUUGAGUGAUGGCAUACGCUCUUAAAUUCAUGUUGAAACUUAAUCCCCAGUGCGAGCGUGUUAAGAGGUGUUACCUCUGGGAGGUGAUUAGACCAUGAGUAUGUAUCAGUGGGAUUAGCAUCUUUAUGAAAGGACUUGCAGUUGACAGGAGCACUCUCUUGUCCUUCCGUCCUCCUCCAGGGAGGACACAACAACCUGGACAUCUUGGACGCAGAGAGAAGUCCUCACCAGACACUGUGCUGGCACCUUGAUCCCCCACUUCCCAGCCUCCAGAACUGGAAGCAAUACAUUUCUGUCCUUUGUAAAUUAUCCAGCCUGUGAGGUUUUACUACAGCAGCGGCUCAAAUGGACUAAGACUGUUUCAGCUUUAAGGCAUUUUUAACAAAAACCUGAUGUCCUCGGGGGGAUCAGAAAUUUGUUCUCUUUUUGUCUGUCUCCAUACACACAUAGACACAUGGACACACAGAUUCCCACUCACCUGCAAACUGUUGCACAGUGCACACCUCCUCAUACGCGGGGACAUACACUUUCACCACACAUCCUCUCUCUCUCUCUCUCACACACACACACACACAAGUACUCCUUCAUGUACUUUUUCACACACAUGCAGACAUCCUGGUCUGUCCUGCUCACCACCGAGUCCCCAGCCAUAUCGCUAGGCGACACGCAUGUGUACAAGCAAUGAGAGGCACGCCCGCGAGGCCCAAGUGCCUGCCGAUGUGUGUUAGAUGCGUCCCGCACGCUCAGGCCCACCCACAUUCCCACAUUUUAGAUCUCUUGGGGUCCCUUCAGGAAGCUGAAUGAAGGUAGAUCCUUUGCUCAAUGUCCCAUUGAAGGAUUCCUUAGAGUCAGGUUUGGCCCCAGGGACACCAGAGGUUCUUGGUCCAAGUGUCAGGGAUAACUCCAUAGCCUGGCGUCUUGACAGUGCUCUGUAAGAUGAAGUCGCUUUCUCAGAUGAUAUCCCACCAGCUCCACGCAGCAGACCUGCGCGGGCCUCUGAGCAGGAGGAAACCUCCCAGUGGCACUGACAGCGCUCUGGAAGGUUAGCCCAUCUGUCCGCGGUCAGAAGACCAGCCAGCCAGUGAAUCCCCCGGCAGCACCCGCACAGCCCCGUCCAGGACGCUCCAGUGCCUCUCCCAGCGACUGUUUUAAGAGGAUUAUUUAGUCUCCAGUUGUCCCCCCCCACCCCGCUAAUUUAUUUCUUUCUUUAUCUCAUUUUUUGAUCCCCUGUUUCCGCCUGCAAAGAAUAGGGUUUCAGCAGGGAGUGAGGGAAGCCAAGUUCACCGUCAGAAGAAAAAUCUAAAAGUAAGUUUUCCUUGUAAAACCCAGCCAAGAUUCCUGCCAAAUGAAAUGCGAACUUACUGCACUCACACUCACCCACCUUUGCAAAGAACUUGCAAAAGGGAAAAGAAAAGUUAAUAAAGUUAAUAUCUGCUUCAGAGAACAGAGUGCAGCCCCUCUGGCCAUAUAAUUUGCCAACUAAUUAAAACGUUAUUCACACUGUUCUGUGAUUGUUCAGGGUUGCGUCACUUUUUGUUCCCUGGAAGGAACUGGUGAAGCGCAAGCCUAUUCCAGUUGCUUUGGCUGUGGGGCGGCGGGGGAGUCUGCGUGCGGGUCAGUCUGUACUGCCUCUUUUCUUUUUUAAAGGUUUAUUUUAUUUAUUUGAAAGACAGAGUUACAGAGAGAGGUAGAGACAGAGACAGAGAGAGAGAGAGAGAGAGAGAGAUGUCUUCCAUCAGCUGGUUCACUCCCCAAUUGGCUGCAACGAUUGGAGCUGAGCCGAUCUGAAGCCAGGAGCCAGAAGCUUCUUCUGGGUCUCCCUUGUGGGUGCAGGGGCCCAAGGACUUGGGCCAUCUUCUACUGCUUUCCCAGGUCACAGCAGAGAGCUGGAUCAGAAGAGGAGCAGCCGGGACUAGAACCGGCACCCAUGUGGGAUGCUGGCGCUACAGGCCAGGGCAUUAACCCACUUGUGUCACAGUGCCGACCCCAUGCAUUGCCUCUUUUCCAUAAGGAUGGCACUGUGGGGGGCGAGGGGCUCCCUCCAGGGCUUUGGCCCAGCUCUGAGCACAGCCCCACUGGAGCCUGUCUCUUCUGAUUCCAGGAGCCCUCAGGAGAGAUGAUGAUGUGGUAUGACAAGACCACUGCUUUGGACUAACACUGGCUGCUUUGAAUCCCAGCUUUGCCCCUUGAAGGCCAUGUGGCUACGGACAAGUCACUUAACCUCAUGGGUCUUAGUUUUCUCAUCUGAGAAAAAGCUAUUGAUACUUCUCGUUGGCAAGUUACCGCUAGAAAGAGGACCAGAAUAUCUAAGGAAUCUGACACAUCGCACAGGCUCCAUAAAUGGUAGAAGCCAUCAGACUAACCAGCCUAGCACUGAUUCUGCCCUUAUUGGAUUUCACGCAGGAGGCAGUGUGGAGUGAGGCAGGUACUGAAGAAGGGAAAGAAAGACAGGCCCCAUAGCUGGUCCCACAGUGGAGCUGGGCAGCUCUGUCACAGCUGGGUAUCUCUAAAGGGCUUUCCAAUCCUGGGAACUGUGUGUUGGCCGAGGGCUAAGACUGCAUCUUCUCUGAUCUCUAUCCCUGGACUGGAGCAUGGAACAGAGACACACAGCAGCUUCUCAAAGGAGUCUUAGCUGACUGGCCUUGCCCACUGCUCGCCAGCCAGGUCCAGAGAAAGUGUGGAAACAAGCUCAACGGUGUGACACGAGCGAGACGACUUCCCCGUUCUGCAGGGCCGAGUCACUCCUGUCCAUUUCGUGAGAACUUGUUCCACGACUCUGCUGUUUUCUUCAUGACCCUCUUGGAAGUGUGGUGCUCCAGGACACGGCUUGCCUGGCUUCACCAGCCCGGGAUCUCUAGCACCUAGGAGAAUGGCUGGCAUAUUAUCUGUGCUCGAUAGCUGUUGACGGAACGAAGAAUGAAGCCGGGGUCUCCGUGUGACUUCUGUGGGUACAGAGGAGUUUCCACAGAAGAGAGCAUUGCCACAGAGAUGUGCAGACGUCAGAAUCAGAAUGGGCAAACCGCUGUCUUCAUCAUCAAGAGGAAGCACUGAGGCUCAGGGAGGGGAGGGGGCUGGUCAGGAUCACCGAGACGUCACGGGAAGAUCUAGGACUGGACCCAGGCCUUCUUCCUCUCUACCCGAUGUUCUUAAUCCUGCAACAUGUGAUCAGCCAUAUCUUUAAGAUAGAACAGAGGGGCGGAGACUGAAGAAAAAGACAAAUCCAAGAAAAGGAAAGUUAGGGGAAUAAAAGCAUUUCUUCUCAGGUCAAGAGAAGGAGAGGGGAGCAGAGAGAGAUGAGAGAGAGGGAGAGAGAAGGGGGGUGAGAGAGAGAGAAAUAGACAUGAAGAGACAAGGAGACUCAGGGCUGGUGCCUAUAAAAUGCUAAAUCCAAAACAGACCGAGUCACAUGAAAAAUAACCUGAGUGUUUCUUUGCAUAAUGAGAACUCUACUCUUUCAAAAAAAAUUAUUUGAAAGUCAGAGUUUCAGAGAGAGAGAGAGAGAGAGAGAGAGAAAGGAGAUCUUUCAUCUAUUGAUUAAUCCCCCAGAUGGCCACAAUGGCCAGCACUAGGCAAGGUCAAAGCCAGGAGCCAGGAGCCUCCUCCAGGUCUCCCAUGUGGGUGGCAGGGGCCCAGGUACUUGGGUCAUCCUCUGCUUCUUUUCUCAGGCCAUCAGCAGGAAGCUGGAUUGGAAGCAGAGCAGCCUGGACUUGAACUGCUGCCCAUAUGGAAUGCCAACAAUGCAAGCAGCAGCUUUUACCCACUAUCCCACAAUGCUGGCUCCAAGAACUCUACUCUUACUUGGGGUCAGCAAUGCAUCUGGCCCUUGUCCAUGAAGGCCUUGGAAUGGCGUAAUAUUGGAUAAAGUCUGAGGCAUUAAGAAGAUAACACAUCCGUUUGAAAAGUGCUCUCCUAUCAGAGCAACAUGAAUCCUAUUAAAACUGAAGCAAGAACAAACACCAGAUUGAUGGCAAAGUUUGGAGAGAAGAAUGGUGACAUCAUCGAUGGCUUACAAAAGUUUGAGAGGAAAAUCCUCCAAAGAAGCCAGCAGUUUACAAGUGGGUGACUCAUUCUCAGAAGGGAUGGGAUGAUGACGCUGAAGCCUGAAGCGGUAGACCGUCCACAUCUGUUGGUGCGAAAGCAAUUCAUCUUGUCCGUGCCCUAAUUGAAGAGGACCGAUGACUGACAACAGAAACAAUAGCCAACACAACAGACAUCUCAGUUGGUUCAGCUUGCACAAUGCCAUCUGCAAAGCUAAGGUUGGACAGACUUUCUGCUCACUGGCUGCCAACACUGUCGUGCCCAGAUCAGUUGCAGACAGGAGCGGAGCUCUCAAUGGAAACUGGAAACAAGUGGGAUCAGGAUUCUGACGCAUUUCUGUGAAGACUUAAAACAGGAGACAAACAUGGCUUUACCAGGAGGAUCCUGAGGACGAAGCACCAGCAAGACAGUGGCUGACAAGAGGCCGACGUGGCCAGGUCAAAGCAGACGUGGGCUAGUCAAGAGCAGAGGUCACAGCGGCAGUAUCUCGGGCUGCUUGAAGGAUUACCGUUUGCUGACUUUCUGGAGCGUGUUUUGAGAGAGUUAGCCAAAGCUGAGGCAGAGGAGUGCCCAGCAAGUCUUCCCUGGAGAGUCCUUCACCACCACAGUGCUCCGGCUCAUUCCUCUCACCAAACAAGGGCGUUUUCAUGAGUGUUUCCCUGGCAAAUCCGUGAGCAUCCAUCCUACAGCCCUUGACGUCUCCUUGUUUCCCAAUCCUUAAAAAUCUUUGAAGACGCCCAUUUUUCUUUAGUUAACCAUGUCAAGGAAAACACUUUGCCUUGACAUGCUUAAGUUCCCAGGAGCUUCCUUAGGGAUGGAGCGUUCUUAGGGAUGGAUUAAAUGAUGGGAAUCAUUGCUUACACAAGUGGCUUGAUUUUGAUGGAGCUCAUGUUGAAAAAUAGAGCUUACAUUUUAAUUUUUUAUCCCAUUUUCCACAGUUUUUUAAAAAGCCCUCCUGUACGUUAUUAUUUCAACCUUGUUAGCAAGACUUUGCUUUCCUCAUAACCUAUACAAUGAUGCUACUAUAAGUACUACUAUUCCAUGAAUGUUUCUAUUACUACUACAGGAGUUAGUGACUUUUGGAUGUUUGUUUUGUGCCAGGCACUGCUACACACAUUUUACGGAUGAAGAAGAUGAGGUUGAGUACUCUGCCUGUGAUCAUCCCAUUAGCAAAGGGAGGGAGCAGCAGGGCAAAGCCCAGAUCACUCACCGGGGUCGGAAUCCAGUGCAGUCUGUUCUCACAAUCCCCUCCAGCCUUUCUCCCGCUGUUCUAGAUGCAAUCUUGCUCUCACGGGGUCCAAACAGGUUCCUCUAACUCCAUUCAGACGUGCUUUCCCCAUCCAUCCACGUCUGCAAGUGUCCUAAGUAAAAUUCCAUCUCAGGCCCUGUGCUAGGAGCAGUCUAAUGGAGAGGCUUCAUCUAAAUGGAUCAUCACAAGGUGGGGCUUCAAGUAAGAAAGGGAAGUACAACUCAACCCCAGCUCUGGGCAUUACAGCAGGAUUCCUGGAGGAGGAGAAGGCAGAAUUUGGGCCACAUCCUGGGGAUGAGUAUGAAGUCUGAGCUGUGACUGCUGUGGCUCAUUUGGGCAAAGUUGGGAGCCCAGAAGCAUUCUCAUUGGAAGAUCUGCUUGUAGAGUUUCAUGUAACCCCAGCCCGACUGGGAGCCAGGAGCUUGGAUGUUCUUAUAAGGCUCGCUCAAGUCUCAAAGAGGAGGCGGAGAGUUACAUGCCAGGGCCUGAACUGCCAAUCAGCAAGACUCACUCCCUCCAGCUGGGCAAGAGGUUGCCCCACCACCACCAGCAGUGGGAAGUGCAGGCCAGAUACCAUCUGGAGGUCAGAUGGAUGACCUAACUCCAGCUAACUCCAGCUCUUGUGACCUCAGUGGGGUAAAAAAUGCAAAUCUUCUGCCAUCCGCUUCUUCCUGAAGGUUUUGCUGUCUGGCAGGUUGGUGGAGCAGCCACUUGUGAAGGGAGAGCAGGGGCCCAGGGAAGUUUUCCAAGGCAGAAGAAGACGCUCUGUUCCGUGUCCACCUCCCCAACUUCACUUCAGCCCUUUGAGGGUGCAGGAGACCUCCAUGUUUAAUGGGGCGCAAUCAUCAGGAGAGAGGAGUUAAAGGAAGCCCUGAUUCCUGGGGACCCUUGACACCCAGCCAGAGAGCGAGCUAGGGGCAUGGUCAGCUGCUGGGACAAAGCAGAGCAGGGCCAUGGUUCCUCCUCUCUGCGGGGCCCUCGGUGAUGGAAGGGACUGGCAUAAAGAUGAACAUCUGCCUCCAAACCCGCAUUCAAGGAUGCUUCAAAAAGCUUACGGAAUAACGGAAUCAAAAGAGUCUUUUAUUUUGGUGCAAAACAUUAAAAUUCAUGCAUUUUUUCAUAAUGUGCAUUUCCAUGAACUUUGGAAGACCCCCUUGUAACUCUUUAUGUCACAUCUAAUGGGGGACCAACUUGUUGGCAGAGGCCACCGACAGUGGGGGAGCGGAUCAAGCCAGUGUGAGGUCAAAGAACACGGACAAGUAGCCUCUUAUCUAAGAUGACCUCUACUGUCCCUCUUAUGUUCCCUUCUUCCCUCAAUGUGACGGCCCCUGGACCCAGUAAAGGAGGAGAAGACGAGGCCACAGCCCCUGCCUAUUAUUGUUGCUUGAGGUUCAGGUUCACAAACUUUAAAUGGAGGCGAGGAAAUGCUAUUGAGAUUGCCUUGAGGUUAGGAUUGUGAACUGGAAUGGCCUUCUGGUAUCUGUUAUGGAUAAGAAUGUGAUGGCACCUGCCUGGAGAUAGCAUUAGGAGAUGGACUUAGGUGCUGGACAGUUCAUGGUUAACAGGAAUAGCUGGAGAAAAUGAACUGGACUACAGUCAGGCACCACACAACUUUCAAUCCAUGACAGACUGCAUGGAUGAUGCUGGUCCCCAAACAGAGUGGAGCUGCAAACUUGCUGUUGUCUGGUGUUGCUGGCAGUCGUAGCAGACUAUUCGCAUGUUGGUGAUGAUGCUGGUGUAACGCCCACACAGUAUGGAACACCUGACCAUCAGCCGCUUGGUUACUGCUUACACACUUAGAGACACACGUACUUCUGCUUACUAAAGCCGUGUGCCUUGUUCCACUGGCAGCAGCCUCACAGCUCUCCUGUUUAGGGAGAGGCCACGGGGAGGGACUGACCUGCGCCGCUGUCUUGGUGUGUGUAAGUGCAUUCUGUGAACUUUGCACAACGACAAAACCACCUAACAACCCAUUUCUUGGCAUGUGUCUCUGCUGCUUAGUGACACGUGACUGCCCUCGUCCUGCUACGAAUGGAAGCUUCUCCAUAAACUGUCUGCUCUGCUGACAGCAGCUGCUGACUAUGGAGAGAGGCACUGUGCUGAGUGCUGCCCACGCUUGAGCUCGAUUGCUCUUUACAACCUGUGAGAUAGUAACACUUUCACACACCCAUUUUACAGAGGAGGAAACUGAGGCACAGUUCCCGUGCCUAAACAAAGAUGCAGACAUCUCACCUGUGUCUGGCUGGUCCACAGCGAGCUCCGUUCUCCUCAGUCCCCUUGCUGUUACCCCUGACGUUUUCCCAAACACUUCUGCUUGUGUGUCCAGAGUGCUUCCCAGUUCACUAAGAGCCUCUCCGCCAACCCACCUUGUGAUGGGGCCAGAACAGAUCACAUCCAUUUUUUAAAAUAUUUAUUUAUUUAUUUGAAAGUCAAAGUUACACAGAGGGGGGAGAGAGAGAGAGAAAGAGAAAGAGAGAGAGAGGGAGAGAGAGGUCUUCCAUCCACUGGUUCACUUCCCAGUUGGCCACAAUGGCUGGAGCUGCGCCAAUUGGAAGCCAGGGGCCAGGAGCUUCUUCCAGGUCUCCCACAUGGGUGCAGGGGCCCAAAGACUUGGGCCAUCUCCUACUGCUUUCCCAGGCUAUAGCAGAGAGCUGGAUUGGAAGAGGGGCAGCUGGGACUCCACCCAGCGCCCAUAUGGGAUGCCAGCACUGCAGGACGCGGCUUUACCCGCUAGGCCACAGCGCCGGCCAGCUCACAUCCAUUUUAUGCAGAUGCAGCGCUGCCUCAGAGCUCCGAGAGCCGUGUCCACGGGAGUGGCACCAAGUACCUUACUUCACCUCUUCGCACAGUGUGACGUUAAUGGUUCCUUUCUCCGUGGCGUUAGUAUAGACAAAGCGCGCCAUCGGUGUCCGCGCUUGGUCUGCUCUGCCGAAGGAUUAGCGUUGGUGCCACCUGCUCUUUACUGCCGGGUAGGUUCUCUGGCAUCUGGGAAGAAAACUCUCAAUGAACGCAAACACGCCUGCUUCUCUCACCCACGUCCUGCGGGCCCCCUUUCCUCACCCUAGCUCUCUUAACUCCGAAAACCAUCUCUGCAUCACACAAAGACAUUCCCCCACCGACAAUAGCAAAGGGGGAAGUUAUUUUUGCUAUUCCUGGAGAACCCCCGCAUUUGGCGCUGGAUUUCUGCCCCUCAUUUGGCGCUGGAUUUCUGCCCGGUCUUUGUACGCGCCCCCGGUUCCACUGCCGGAGGCCAAGAGAGCCCGGCGGGUAGUCAGCGGGUCUGAGGGGCGCGGACCUGCAGUACCGUCUGUGCGCAGCAGGCGGCAGGUGCGGCCUCCGGAAAGCAGGUGAGGCGCCGCGCAUCGCCGCCUGCGCGCAGCUGCGCCCUGGAGAUUCGGAAGCAGUGGGUUUGCCGGGCGCCCCAGGAGGACGCUUUUUUUUUUAAAGCUCCUCGAGUGACUGACUCAGGAAGUCCCUGCUUUGGCGUGUUCCAGAGAACCGCAGGCCCCAUGCCACUGCUGCGCGGGCCGCGGCCGGUGAUUCCUGCAGUUCGCAGAAGGAAGGCUUUGCAGCGCGUCGGGAUCAAAGGGACCCCGAGACUGGGGGAUGAAGCCCUGGCGAGGCGGAGGUGCAGCCACUGCCCCGGGAGCUCCGGGAUGGGGAAGCCACAGGAAAGACCCGCUUCUUGAGGUCGCUACAACUGCAGGCCCCCGAGAAGUCAAAACCGUGCGGAACGCGCUGUUGCCUGAGUCCGGAUUGCUACCUGGGCCACCUAUCUCCGGAGGCCGCGUUGUCAGCAGCGCCCGAGGCUGCCUCUUGCCACCCGACCGCGAGGGUGCUCUCUCGCUCCUAGCCCGGCCUGUCCUCCUGCCCUGUCCUGUCUGCUCGCUGUCCUUGGGCAAAUCAAAAUGCCCCUGGGCCCGGGUUUCUCUUGUGUGAGCCAGGAUGAUGGACUGAGAGAAUGAAUGGUAGGCGUACCUGCAGUCGUGGAAAGAAUUAGAGCUUUCUCCCGGGCGCGCUGUCUCCACACUGGAGGCCAGGGGGCCGGGGAAGCACAUAGCCUGCACCCUGCCUUCCCAGAGGUCACGCAGCCUAGAAGGCACAGUGAUUUCCCCAGGGAGGGCAGGGAUGGAGGCCUCCUGACUGCCAGCCCAGCCCAGCCAGAGUCUCGCCGCCUCUCCUGACCAGCUCUGGCCUCCCUUCUUUCUCCUCUCCUUUCAUCAACACUCAGCAAGCACUUGUUUUACUGGUCUUUUAUACAAGGGCAUUAGAUGAAUGUUUGGUGGUGAUCAGCUCGGUCACUCGUUUAGCAACAAGCACUUGCUUUGUGCCAAAGCCAUCCCAGGGAGAUGGUGAGGAGCCCAAGAAAAGCGGGCAGUGCACACUGGGCAGUCAGUUGGCCCUGGGGGAAGGCGAGGCAGGCACCAGCAGGGCUGCACGCAGCACAGCGGCAGGCUCGGGGCUCGGAGGUCUGGGCACGCGACCUUGCCUGCUGCCUCUGUUGCCCUGCCCCGAGACGGCACUUUCCCGGCCGAUUCCUCAGCUCCUGUGUGACAGGUGCCUCCCACCUCACUCUCUUCUCACCUGGGUCUUCCUGGAAUUGGAGCCUUUUCCCGGCUUCGGCUGUCAUCGAUUUCAUGCUGGCGCCUACAUCCCUAUCUCGGGAUGAAAGCGUUUGUGUGAAUGUUCCCUAGAGCGCAAGAGCUCCUUGUCCUAGAGUGAGCUCGUUUCUCCGCCCACCUGCUUUCGUCUGUGAACGCCGCGCGGCUCCCUCGGCCUUGCUCCUCCAACAUCCCAGGGUCCCUGUGUUCUUCAGAUCACAGAGUUGGGGAACCCUAAGCAUCCCCGCCCCAGAUGCCUUUGCGCACACAUUUUCUGCUGUUGUCAGGCUUCAGGUAGGACCAAGACUCACCUGGAUUGUCACAGCAACGUUUCCCUCGCUGGUCCUCUCCCUUCGGAUUGUGCUCACCCCUCAGCCCUCCACGUGAGACCCUCGGACAGACAGAACUCCACCAGUCACAGCCCCUCAGCGCUUCCCUCUGCUUGCAGAGCCAACCUCCUCCUGACAGCAGCCCCUGGACCUCUGUUGUGGAUCAGAUCGUGUGCCCCCAGAACAGCGGCUGGAGAAGGUGAACUGAUUUGGGAAUGGAGCUCUUGAGAUGUGAUUGGUUAAGAUGAAGUCAUCCUGGAGGAGGUGGGCUCUUGACCCAUCAGUGUGGGCAGAGGGGACUUUGGACACAGGCGCAGUCUGGGAGGGAGGAUGCUCCUUGUAGAGUGGAGGCAGAGACUGGAGUUGUGUUGCUGCAGGUGACAAAAGCCUGCAGGAGCUCCCAGAAGCUGGAAGACGUGAGGAAGGCUUCCCCACGAGGGCUUUGGAGGAACUCGCCCCUGGCAGUGCCUUGAUUUCGGACUUGCAGCCGCCAGCACUGGGAGGCAAUAAACUUCUGUCGGUCUGUGGGACUUUAGGGCAAUGACAGCCUGUCCUGACCCAGCUACCAACUAUCUUUCCAGUCGCAUCUGCAGUCACCUGCCUCAACUCACCCUGCUCUCUCAGAGCAGCCCCUGAACUGGACGCUGGGCCGUGCACAGCCCUGAGAACCCAGCACGCCCCUUCUCCACCUGCCCGCCUGCCCACUUCUGCCCUCCUGCAGCACGGUCUGUGGGAACGGCUACUGCCGGUCUCCUGCAUGUGCUCAAGGCCUCCGGGAGAGCAAGGACUCUGCGUCUGUCUUCUCUCUCCACAGUGCCUUAGCAGUGGAGGCUGAUCUCGUGUAAAGCUCAAAAAAAAAAAAAAAAAAAAGUGCGUCUGGUCGCAGGUUCUCCUGGAGAGGAUGGUAUGGGGGUGGCAGGAUUCUAAACACUCCUUGCUACUCACUGGGCUGCCAGAGAGGGUGCUACCAUGAUUUCCCCAGCUACUAGUUAACCAUGGGGCACGCAAGCCCCAGGGGACCCACACCCAAACUGCCAGUGCUGUUGCCUCGGCUCUGGCGCAGGCGUGAGGGAGGUCCCUCAGAGGCCGACACCUAAUCACUGUCCCUCUUCAGAUGAAAAACGGGGAAAAUGCAGGCUAACUGUUGUUUAGUGACCCCACCCCCCAGCCCUGUAAAAUAAACACUCUUUUCAAUUAGGAAGAUUUGUCACCGGGGACAGUAAUUCCGUGUCCUACCAAAACAAACACAGUUGUAAUU